AGAGUUUGAUCCUGGCUCAGAUUGAACGCUGGCGGCAUGCCUUACACAUGCAAGUCGAACGGUAACAGGUCUUCGGAUGCUGACGAGUGGCGAACGGGUGAGUAAUACAUCGGAACGUGCCCGAGAGUGGGGGAUAACGAAGCGAAAGCUUUGCUAAUACCGCAUACGAUCUCAGGAUGAAAGCAGGGGACCGCAAGGCCUUGCGCUCACGGAGCGGCCGAUGGCAGAUUAGGUAGUUGGUGGGAUAAAAGCUUACCAAGCCGACGAUCUGUAGCUGGUCUGAGAGGACGACCAGCCACACUGGGACUGAGACACGGCCCAGACUCCUACGGGAGGCAGCAGUGGGGAAUUUUGGACAAUGGGCGCAAGCCUGAUCCAGCCAUGCCGCGUGCAGGAUGAAGGCCUUCGG
rnacentral:rRNA from 1 species